AUUGAACGCUGGCGGCAUGCUUUACACAUGCAAGUCGAACGGUAACAGGCCUUCGGGUGCUGACGAGUGGCGAACGGGUGAGUAAUGCAUCGGAACGUACCCAGAGGUGGGGGAUAACGCAGCGAAAGCUGUGCUAAUACUGCAUGUGAUCUGAGGAUGAAAGCGGGGGACCGAGCAGCAAUGUUUGGCCUCGCGCCUUUGGAGCGGCCGAUGUCGGAUUAGCUAGUUGGUGGGGUAAAGGCCUACCAAGGCGACGAUCCGUAGCUGGUCUGAGAGGACGACCAGCCACACUGGGACUGAGACACGGCCCAGACUCCUACGGGAGGCAGCAGUGGGGAAUUUUGGACAAUGGGCGCAAGCCUGAUCCAGCAAUGCCGCGUGCGGGAAGAAGGCCUUCGGGUUGUAAACCGCUUUUGGCAGGAACGAAACGGUGUCCGCUAAUACCGGGCGCUAAUGACGGUACCUGCAGAAUAAGCGCCGGCUAACUACGUG
rnacentral:rRNA from 1 species